UAGGGAAUCUUCCGCAAUGGACGAAAGUCUGACGGAGCGACGCCGCGUGAGCGAAGAAGGUCUUCGGAUCGUAAAGCUCUGUUGUUAGGGAAGAAGAAGUGCCGUUCGAACAGGGCGGCGCGGUGACGGUACCAUAGGAGGAAGCCCCGGCUAUCUACGUGCCAGCAGCCGCGGUAAUACGUAGGGGGCGAGCGUUGUCCGGAAUUAUUGGGCGUAAAGCGCGCGCAGGCGGUUCCUUAAGUCUGAUGUGAAAUCUCGCGGCUCAACCGCGAGCGGCCAUUGGAAACUGGGGAACUUGAGUGCAGGAGAGGGGAGCGGAAUUCCACGUGUAGCGGUGAAAUGCGUAGAGAUGUGGAGGAACACCAGUGGCGAAGGCGGCUCUCUGGCCUGUAACUGACGCUGAGGCGCGAAAGCGUGGGGAGCGAACAGG
rnacentral:rRNA from 1 species